CUUCACAGCUGUGUGGUCUUGGGCCCCAGUUAUCUCUCUGUGAAACAGAACCUUCUCUUAGGCUUGCCAUGAGGGUAAGAUUAAAUAAUGCAUGUGAAGCCCUUGACACAGAGUAGUCGCCUAAUAAAUUAGAACUACUAUCCUACUUAACUCCCAAACUUCUCAAAUCUCCAUUCCCUCUUGUACUAACAUAACAAGAACUUUGGUCUCACACAUAACCUUUUCACUGGUUCCAUCUUUCGUCAUCUUAACCACCUACUUAUCAGUCUACAGCUUCUCAUUUCUAACUGAAGAGCCUCCC
rnacentral:lncRNA from 1 species